AGUGAGCGCUGGCGGCAGGCCUAACACAUGCAAGUCGAACGGCAGCACAGUAAGAGCUUGCUCUUACGGGUGGCGAGUGGCGGACGGGUGAGGAAUACAUCGGAAUCUACUUUUUCGUGGGGGCUAACGCAGGGAAACUUACGCUAAUACAGCAUACGACCUACGGGUGAAAGCAGGGGAUCUUCGGACCUUGCGCGAUUGAAUGAGCCGAUGUCGGAUUAGCUAGUUGGCGGGGUAAAGGCCCACCAAGGCGACGAUCCGUAGCUGGUCUGAGAGGAUGAUCAGCCACACUGGAACUGAGACACGGUCCAGACUCCUACGGGAGGCAGCAGUGGGGAAUAUUGGACAAGGGGCGCAAGCCUGAUCCAGCCAUACCGCGUGGGUGAAGAAGGCCUUCGGGUUGUAAAGCCCUUUUGUUGGGAAAGAAAAGCAGCAGGUUAAUACCCCGCGGUUCUGACGGUACCCAAAGAAUAAGCACCGGCUAACUUCGUG
rnacentral:rRNA from 1 species